CNUGCAGUCGAGCGGUAGAGAGGUGCUUGCACCUCUUGAGAGCGGCGGACGGGUGAGUAAUGCCUAGGAAUCUGCCUGGUAGUGGGGGAUAACGCUCGGAAACGGACGCUAAUACCGCAUACGUCCUACGGGAGAAAGCAGGGGACCUUCGGGCCUUGCGCUAUCAGAUGAGCCUAGGUCGGAUUAGCUAGUUGGUGGGGUAAUGGCUCACCAAGGCGACGAUCCGUAACUGGUCUGAGAGGAUGAUCAGUCACACUGGAACUGAGACACGGUCCAGACUCCUACGGGAGGCAGCAGUGGGGAAUAUUGGACAAUGGGCGAAAGCCUGAUCCAGCCAUGCCGCGUGUGUGAAGAAGGUCUUCGGAUUGUAAAGCACUUUAAGUUGGGAGGAAGGGCAUUAACCUAAUACGUUAGUGUUUUGACGUUACCGACAGAAUAAGCACCGGCUAACUCUGUGCCAGCAGCCGCGGUAAUACAGAGGGUGCAAGCGUUAAUCGGAAUUACUGGGCGUAAAGCGCGCGUAGGUGGUUCGUUAAGUUGGAUGUGAAAUCCCCGGGCUCAACCUGGGAACUGCAUUCAAAACUGUCGAGCUAGAGUAUGGUAGAGGGUGGUGGAAUUUCCUGUGUAGCGGUGAAAUGCGUAGAUAUAGGAAGGAACACCAGUGGCGAAGGCGACCACCUGGACUGAUACUGACACUGAGGUGCGAANGCGUGGGGAGCAAACAGGAUUAGAUACCCUGGUAGUCCACGCCGUAANCGAUGUCAACUAGCCGUUGGGAGCCUUGAGCUCUUAGUGGCGCAGCUAACGCAUUAAGUUGACCGCCUGGGGNGUACGGCCGCAAGGUUAAAACUCAAAUGAAUUGACGGGGGNCCCGCACAAGCGGUGGNGCAUGUGGUUUAAUUCGAAGCAACGCGAAGAACCUUACCAGGCCUUGACAUCCAAUGAACUUUCCAGNNAUGGAUUGGUGCCUUCGGGAA
rnacentral:rRNA from 1 species